GACGAACGCUGGCGGCGUGCUUAAUACAUGCAAGUCGAACGGUAAGGCUCCAGCUUUCUGGGGUUCACGAUUGGCGAACGGGUGAGUAACACGUGUGUGACCUGCCCUUCUCUUCGGGAUAAGCCUGGGAAACUGGGUCUAAUACCGCAUAGGAUCUUUGGGAGGAUACUGUUGUGGAGAGUUUUUUCGGUGUGGGAUGGGCCCUCGGCCUAUCUGCUUGGUGGUGGGUUAAUGGCCUACCAACGCGGCGCCGGGUAGCCGGCCUGGGAGGGUGGACGGCCACCUUGGGACUAAGACACGGACCAGACGGCUACGGGCGGCAGCGGUGGGGAAUAUUGCGCAAUGGGCGGGCGCCUGAUGCAGCGACGCCGGGUGGGGGAUGCCGACCUUCGGGUUGUAAACUCCUUUGUCCGUAGCCGAGGGGUUUCUGACGGUAGCUGGAGAAGAAGCCCCGGCUAACUACGUG
rnacentral:rRNA from 1 species